UACUAACUAUGUAAAGAGGAGUUGCGCUAACAACUCCCCUACAGCACCGUUUAAGACGGUGGCAGUACUAUUAUUUAAAC
rnacentral:sRNA from 1 species